GUAGUUAGCCGGGGCUUCCUUCUCGGCUACCGUCAUUGUUUUCUUGACCAAGAACAGAGGUUUACAAUCCGAAAACCUUCUUCCCUCACGCGGCGUUGCUGGGUCAGGCUUGCGCCCAUUGCCCAAUAUUCCCCACUGCUGCCUCCCGUAGGAGUCUGGACCGUGUCUCAGUUCCAGUGUGGCCGAUCAGCCUCUCAGCUCGGCUACCCAUCGCGGACUUGGUGGGCCGUUACCCCGCCAACUAUCUAAUGGGACGCGAGCCCCUCCAACAGCGGAUUGCUCCUUUGACCCCUCUGCCAUGUGACAGUGUGGUCUCAUGCGGUAUUAGCGACAAUUUCUCGUCGUUAUCCCCCUCUGAAGGACAGGUUGCUCACGCGUUACUCACCCGUUCGCCACUAAGUUAUCAAAAGCAAGCUCCGAUAACUCCGUUCGACUUGCAUGUGUUAGGCACGCCGCCAGCGUNUCUCUAGCGACNCGAUACAACUAACUACGUACUACGUAGACGGGACGUACGGCGAACGGACGGACGACGUAGAG
rnacentral:rRNA from 1 species